ensembl:processed_transcript R74862 expressed sequence R74862
GGGUGGCCAAGAACUGGGGCACCGUGCGCAGCAGCACGCGGCCCGGGCUGCCCUGCCUUCUAGGCCUGGAGCUCGAGCCCCCAGGGUGGCAAUACCAAGCUGGAGGGUAAGCAAGGGUGGAGUAAUAGUGGGGUUGAGGUCUCCGAGGCAAGUACGGAGCGUGCCCCCACCACUUCGAGGCCGCCUAUCCAGGGGCGGUGGCUAGGAUGAGCUCAUGGGGGCGGGGCGCCAAGAUCCCGCCCUUCUCGACCCCCCUCACUGCUCGCGAUGCAGGAUGGUCCCCAAAACAACAUUCAGGAGGGUGCGAGUACCCCCUUCAUAGCUGAGGGCUCUUGAUUACCUGGCUCUAGCCCGCAGACUCUUGCACCAGUUCCCAGCACUCAGAGGGGACAGGCCAGCGAUCCCCUGAUUUCCCGGCCCCAGAAGCCCCUCGAGCCGAGGCCCAGAAGCUCAGCCCUCGGCCUCAACCCGCUGGCGAGGGGCGCCAGGACCCCGAUCGGCGCACGGAGCCCACAGGUGGCGCCGCAACUUCGCGGUUGCGCUGCGCCUUCUCAGCAGGGCCUAGCGCGCUGCCCAGCCUGGCUACCGUGGGGUGCGCCCUGUCCCCAGUGGCUGCUCACCCAGAAGACGAAAUUGAAGACGAAGAGCAGGAUUUCAACAUAGACCAAAGACCAGCAUCUCUUCAGGAAUCCUCUAGGACUCCAGCACUAGAUGGUACUGCUGAGACACCCAGUCUUGGGGACUGAACAACUGCCAGAUUCUUGGCCUUCCCACUGGAAUACUGCUAUUGUUGGAAUACCAGGCUACAGCCGUCAAAGAUCUGAUCUGUCCGUGGUUAAAGAUGUGAGCUCGCCAUGUCUUCCACUUGUUGCUAUGCCUUCCUGCGAUGAUGGACUCGCAUCCCUCUGGAACGAUGUUUCCAGAGCGGUCUAACCUGGGCAGGAGUGAGCACUUUCCAGCAAGUGGCUGAGUACUAAAAGGUGGCCCAGUCUAAAGAAAAAGCAGUGUUGGCUGCCUGCCUGCCUUCCCUGGGUCUGGAGCCAGUGUGUCCAUCUGCUGCCACUGUCUUCUUUUGACGUCAGACUGAAGUUUCUUCAGCCUUCUCUAACAAGAACGAAACACCAGUGACUCUUCAGGAAUUUUCCAGGCCUUCAGCACCAGACUGAGACUGCUGAAGCGAUCAGCUUUUUGGACUAAACAGCCUGUUUAGUGUUGUGUAAGUCAAUCUAAUAAAUCCUCCUUUAUAACACACAUUUCCUCUAUUAGUUCUGUCUCCAAAGAACCCUAUUUCAUCCAUAUUGAGGUACCAGUAGUAGGUUCUAGAGAGGCAGAACUCUAAGGAUGAAUUUCUCUAGUGGGCUUGAUGGUGUUUGACUUAGCUCUCCAAUUCAUCUACACUUGGAAUUGCAAAGACUCUACACUUCUCUGGUAGUGUAGAGAGAGCAUUACCAAUCCGUCUUAGGCGUCCAAGAACUGUACAGUGAGUUCACACAUACACACGCAUACAUGUGCACACAUGUAUAAAUAAACAAACAAAUUAAAUAAAUAAAUGUAACUUAAAAAUUAAAAGGAAAGAGAAUGGCUCUUCCUUCCAAGAAUGGAUGUGGGCUGAGAGGUAGCAAAGGUUUGAAUCUCUGAUGGUGCUGAGCCAGAACAGUCAUGAGCCUCUGUGGGUCACAUAGUACUCACAUAGUACCCACAUGCUCCACAUUUGGAGCAUAAAGGGCAGGAGCUUUCCUCGGGGGUGCUCUGUGCCUGGUAUGUGUCCUUUGUUAUAUGUUUCCAGCCUUCUGUUACCAUUGGUCUCUUCUAUAUGCUAAUCUUCAUCCUCCUUUCCCCCAACAUGCCAUGCUAAUGGACAGCAGAGACCAAACAGUGUCCAUAACUGAUCCAACUUGGGUAUCUCAGUGGUGUGUGUCCCUAAAAGUGCAAUAGAUGGGGGUUGGGGGAGGAGCUUACUAAACACUACUCCAUCUGUGUAGACAAAUUACAGAGCAAAUGAAACAUUUACCUUGAAAGACUGGAGAGGCAGCUCAGUGUUUAAGAGCACUGGCUACUCUUCCAGAGAGCCUGGGGUUCAAUUCCCCCCCACCCAUAUGGCAGUUCACAACAGUCUCUAAUGGCUGUAGUCCUAUGGGCUCCAAUGUCCUCUUUUGACUUCUGCAAGCACCAGGCAUGCAAGUGGUACACAGAUAGGCAUGCAGGCAUACCACGCAUAC